ACAAAGGCUCUUUUAAGAGCCACACAUCUGUUUCACAUAUAGAGCG
rfam:Danio rerio chromosome 7, GRCz11 reference primary assembly.